rnacentral:piRNA from 1 species
UGGAAUGAACUACAAUCCAGAAUUGGAA